rnacentral:lncRNA from 1 species
UUGGUGUUUCAUUUUUGUUUUGUGUUGUUCUUGCAUGUUUGUUAAUAAAUCUCUGUUAGUUUAAUUUAGAAUUUUUGUUUAGGUUUCCUCAUAUCUUGUUCCUUUGUUUAUGUCAUUUCUAAAUUGUCACUGAUGAUCUGCUAUGAAUGAUUCCUUAUUUCAUUUCGGGUGACUGUGACCUCUGCAUUUCUGAGUUAUGAUUUGGUUCGUUCUGUGUAAUCCAUGAACACAUGUUUGAGUGAUUUAAAUUGAAUAUUUGAGGACCAAUUUAAGUUAUUAGUAUAUAACUGUUUCCAUCUGGCAUUUCAUGUUAUUGCCAAUUGUUUCAAUUAAUUUUCUCCUAUUGAUGCGCUGAGCUUUAGAACUUUUAUUGAUCAGACUUAAAUUAGGUUUAGCACAAGUUGGAGAGUUUUGAUUGAAUUUUAGGAUUGAUUGGAUACGUUUGAGUAUUUAGUUUACAUAUGGUCACUUCUAACUAGGGUUAAAGAGGGUUUGGGGUUAGUUUACUGCUCAUUCUUGAUAAAUUCAUAUGGGAUGAACAGUAGUUUAGGCAUUUGAGGUUUAGGAAAUCUUUUAUAACAAAUUAAGAAGCUUCUAGUAGGGACCUCUAGUGAAAUUUCAGUUGAUUAAGUGGUAAAAUUUGGUAAACAAGUCAGAAGUCUGAGGUAACUUAGGCUAAAAGCAAAUAAAUAAAGGACUAACUGUCAAAAAAGUGAAAAUUAGGAAGGACUAAAGGUCACAAUAAAAGCUGAAACUUUUCCCUAGCUUACUUGCCUAUAAAGGCAUAUAUAUCAUGACUAAAAUAGUGGAGAGACCCUCUAAAAUCCUUCUGAAUUAGUUCCCAAUAAGAGAGCAACAAAUAGUAGGUCUGAUUCUAGGAAAUCUGGUAAAAACUUGGAAAAACACGAAAGACAAAAGAAUGCAAAGAUUUCUGUUUGAUAGCAUCAACCAUUGUGAACUCAUCCUGGAAGCAUUUUGUAUUAAAGCUGUGUAGAUCCUGGUCUUAAUUUUGAGAAAAUUCCUUGUUCGUUUCUAGGUUUCGAGCUUCAUUUAUUGUUGAAUCUGUUGGUGGAUUUGUUGUUGUUAUUAUCUCUUGUUUACCUACUCAUAGGUGCUUCCUCUUUGCUGUAAUUCCAGGUACACACACAUGAACUUGAUCUGAUGUAGCCAUGGUAAAAAAUGAAAUGAUAAACACUCCAGCAUUUGUUCUUUGAGCUGAACCUGUUGGCUAAUUAUAGGUUUCGAGCUUGAUUUAUUGUUGAAUCUGUUGGUGGAUUUGUUGUUGUUAUUAUCUCUUGUUUACCUACUCAUAGGUGCUUCCUCUUUGCUGUAAUUCCAGGUACACACACAUGAACUUGAUCUGAUGUAGCCAUGGUAAAAAAUGAAAUGAUAAACACUCCAGCAUUUGUUCUUUGAGCUGAACCUGUUGGCUAAUUAUAGUUUAGAAACAAUCUUAAUUGAUUUGUAAUGUCC